rnacentral:rRNA from 1 species
ACCAGCACGUUAUGUGGGCACUCUAAGGAGACUGCCGGUGCAAACCGGAGGAAGUGGGGAUGACGUCAAGUCAUCAUGGCCCUUACGGCCUGGGCUACACACGUGCUACAAUGGUCGGUACAAAGGGUUGCCAAGCCGCGAGGUGGAGCUAAUCCCAUAAAACCGAUCGUAGUCCGGAUCGCAGUCUGCAACUCGACUGCGUGAAGUCGGAAUCGCUAGUAAUCGUGAAUCAGAAUGUCACGGUGAAUACGUUCCCGGGCCUU